GCUCUUUUACAUACGGGUUAGACACGGCUAAAGGCCAAGGUCAAGUUGAAAGUUGUAGUCUCGCCAAUCUG
ensembl:misc_RNA